UCUCUCUCCCCCCGCCUCUCGUGUCGUGCACGGCAUCCAUCCAUGGAUCUUCCUGAAAUUGCAUCCGAGGCUACCCCGCGUCGCGUUCGAUUCCAUGGCGCCCCCGCGCCGUGUUCGAUUCCGUGGCGCCCCGCGCGCGUGCGACCGGGGGGCCGAACGGAUCCGCGGCCCGGCCCUCGAUCUGGCCCCUUGAGGCUCGUUGCGUGGUCAGAUUUUGCGGGUUGUGGCACUGUCGUUGACUGCACGGCAUGCUUCCCUCACAUCACAACUUUUUCAGCAGUUUGCCGCUUUUGGUUCAUGCUUGGCAUAGGCAGCGGAGGCUGCACGGAAUUGGUAGUGUUGGAAGAUGAAAUCUGUGCUGGACAGACUCAUGGCGACAUGACUAUCGGUUGAUGUUAUUGGCAUUCACAGAUAUAAUCACAGGAAAAUGCAGUCUCUGCAGUUCCAGAAAAGGGUAGGAUUCCUUAAGUAGGCCCUCCCUACAUGUUCCCUUAGCAGAAGAGCACAAGCUCACUUUCAACGGCACUGAAAAGAAGCAUGUUCAGAUUUGAAUUACCUAUUCUAGCAACGUUGUUGCCCUGGUCAAAAUCCAUUUGCUGCUUCCUUUGAACACUUGCUUCUCAGUGGUCAGUGCCAUGAUGUAAGAGCUAAUGGUAGGGGCUAUCAGGUACCCGGUCGUCACAGUAGCAUAAUGUAAGCUCUAAUAAAACCCGGCCUGUGCGGGAAAGACAGCUCCGGCGGUAUUUUUAGAAGGCAAGAAACCCCCCGAAUGCGCCGCACGGCUGCUCAACCUCAGACGGAGAGUAAUAAACCCGGACGGAGAAACUGGCACUACUAGAGCUGCCUAUUGCUUUUCUGAAGCUAACUCACAUUUCAGGAUUCUGCAAGGUUUAACGUUUGUUUGACCGAUCUCCUUGGCUCCUUGCUUGUAACUCUGAUA